CACAGAGAGGUGUUGUGGUGUGUUUUGAGACAUAGAGAGGUGUUGUGGUGUGUUGGGAUACAUAGAGAUUUAUUGUGUGUGUUUGGAGACAUAGAGAGGUGUUGUGGAUUGUUGGGAGACAUAGAGAGGUGUUGUGGAUUGUUGGGAGCCAUAGAGAGGUGUUGUGGUGUGUUGGGAGACAGGGAGAGGUGUUGUGGUGUGUUUUGAGAGAGAGAGGUUUGUUGUGGUGUGUUUUGAGACAGAGAGGUUUGUUGUGGUGUCUUGGGAGACAUAGAGAGGUUUUGUUGUGUGUUGGGAGACAUAGAGAG
rnacentral:lncRNA from 1 species